rfam:Culex pipiens quinquefasciatus supercont3.64 genomic scaffold, whole genome shotgun sequence.
UUACGGCCAGAGCUAAUUGGAGACUUCUUGAAUCGUGUUGUGAACAGUCAUGAAAUCUUUGAUUAGGUCUGGUUGUGG